UUUUGGGAGAAAAAUCCUGGAAUGUCAGGGGGAUUUGGGGGCAAUUUUGGGGCAAAAUUCUGCAAUUUUGGGGAAAUUUUGGGACGUUUCGUUCUGUUUUCCUUCCCUUUCUCAUCAUUCCUAUAUAAUGUAACUUCCCUCCCCCCGCCCCAAUUUUUGGGGUCCCGAACCCCAAUUUUUGGGCCCCCAACCCCGAUUUUGGGGACCCCCCGAGUGAUUUCGGGGCUCCCCCUCCCCGAAUCCGCAGAGUGGCGCGAGGCCCAGGCCACGCACGAGGCCGAGCAGCGGCAGUGGCGCCUCAGGAACCACCUGCAGCUGGCAGCCAAAGGUCCUCUCCGCCAAACUUUCGCCCAAAACCCCCUGAGCCCCCCCAAAACGGCGCCCACAGAGCCCCAAAAAAGGCCCUGGAAGGACACGCUGGGCUGAGGGGGGGAGGGGGCGGCCCGAAAAAUAAAAAAACGCGCGAACGGA